rfam:Oryza sativa Japonica Group DNA, chromosome 3, cultivar: Nipponbare, complete sequence.
AAUAAGUGCAGCCAUGAGUUUUCGCGCCCAACUUUGAUCGUCCGUCUUAUUUGAAAUUUUUUUAUAAUUAGCAUUUUUGUUAUUAUGAGAUGAUAAAACAUGAAUAGUACUUUCCUCGUGACUUAUGUUUUUAAUUUUUUUAAAAAAAAAUUUCAAAUAAGACGAACGGUUAAAGUUGGACGCGGAAAACUAUGGCUGCACUUAUU